GCCUUCGACUUCAGGCCCGUUGGUUUCCUGUCUGAAAGCAUUAUUACUUUUGUCCAUGUGGCAUAAUAAUUAGCAUACAGAUGAGAAGGGAUCCUGCCUCUGAGCCUCAGUCGCAGGAGAAGAUGUGCAGUGGAAAGUUGAUUGGAUGAAUGGAGAACAAAUGGUGGGCGUUCAAAAGCAUUAGGAGAGUUUUGUUGUCGUGGAGCAGGUUUGUCAGUUCUCUGGUUGAAUCUCGUAAGAUGGAAGGCAGGGCGGCUGGUGCCGAGGAGACGACUGCUUGACAGACUGUGGCCUACUUGAAGGUGCACGUUUGGACUGCAUGCGUAGAUAAUUCGUUUGGACUACUUUGGUUUGCAAUUCUACGGCUUUCCCUUUGCUAUUCCCUCCAGAAAAUGAGUCUGGAAGAAAAUUGGUGAAUCCGAUCCAGUGGACCUACAAGCACUCUGACAGGCUCAGAGAGCAGAGUCUGUACCAAAGAGCAAUUACCCCACAAACAAUUUCAGCUGCGUCCCGUCUCUCAAUCGCGGCAAAUUGGUGACCCCGACGUGAUAGGUCAACGAACCGCCUAGCUGAGCGGCUUGCUGCGAGUCCCACAGAACGUUGAAUGAGCUGCUGAAAGGAAGCAGGAGCUGGCCAGCACUAAUCCCUCCAGAGUAGAGAGGUGAGCUGUGGGAAACAUGGGAAAUCAAGAAUCUUCCCCAGAGAGAGAUGUAUAUGAGCUUAUGAAAGCUCUCCUGCGAAAGCAUGGGAAAAAUGUUCCUGGUCAUGACCUCAAAGCAAUACUUAAAUGGGUGCAGGUGAAAAUACCCACUGUGACUGCGUCUAGUAUUUUUACGAAGGAACUUUGGGACGAUGUGGGGGUGAAAUUAUGGGAUGCAGCGACAACUGGGAACGCCGAGGCGCAGCGCAUGCUCCCUUGGUGGAGAAGCAUUUUUAAGGCUUUGAAAGUCCAGGAAAAAAGCCACAAAGAUGUAGCAGAGAAAGAAGCAGACUCUCCUAUGGUACCUCCGCUGUUAUCAGAGGACUGAAAAAACCCCAAGUCUUUGGAGGUCUGUGCCGUGGGCUACCCCCCAGAGGAAGACCCCUUUGAUCUGGGACCAGUGGACCCUGAAAAAGAGCCAGACCUCUACCCCCCUGACCCACGCGAUGUUUGGGUUAACAUAAGACGACAAGCCUUGAAGGAGGGAGAUCUGGAAAUUGUUAAGACGUUUGUAGCCACCGUAAUAUAUCAAGGUCGGGGGGCACAGUGGGAGGCUUUGUCUUUUCCGGUAGUUAAGGAGCUGCGCUGCACUGUUACCGAACAUGGGCUUUCUUCCCCGUAUUUUGCAAGCUUGCUAUCUUCUGUCUUUGAUACUUAUGUUAUGACUCCGCAUGAUCUAAAACCCUUACCACAACCAUCUGGUGAGGACUCUGAUCAUCCUCCGUACCACCCUUUCGAGCAACAAAUCGGUGAAUCUCCUGAGAAGAGCCAGGACAACAUGAAUUGAACACCGCAAGCAAGGAAGGACUACCUGAAUCAGUGUAAAGAAAUAUCAACUGCAGAAAUCGUUUGUAUUUUAUGUAAAACUUGUGACUUUAGAAAAGGAAAUUGAUGUAGCAAAAGUCUUAGUUGUCACAGGGCACGAAUUGUUAGGAAAUAGCUGUUAUUUACAUAGUUGUGUAGACUGGUCUUAUUUAGUGUAUAAAAGGUCGAAGGAGGUGUUAGCUUGUGGUUUAGAGUGUAGUAAAACAAACCUAGUUCCUGCUAUAUGGCCUGUCCUUAAACAAGAUUGGGAUCGAACAAAAGAAAAAUGCAGAAAACAAUUCGCGUGGAAGCUAAAGGCAGGCAAAAAACUGUUUUUAGAGUAGUGCUUAUCCUUAUAGCGGCAGUAAGGACUGAGCAGAGCUAUCCAUUUCUUCCUGCACUUCCUAAGGUUAAUGUGUGGGUCACGCUAGCAAAUAUAACUGGUCAGGACACUUUGUGUCUUGCACCCGCCUCGCCUAAUAACCCUUUCUCCACAUGUCUCGUGGGCCUGCCGCUAGAUAAGUGGCCGAUACCUGCAGGAUUGAAAACCGUUUUUCCAGCUCUAUCACAAAAUCUGACGGAUAAUUGGGAUGCGUGGGUCCCCUUUCUCCCACAGGCUACCCUAGAACCACAAGAGAUUGAACUCCUCGGAUCGGUAAAAAUGGAUUUUUGUGUUAAGUUUAACUAUACAGGAAAAAACCAAUCUAGAGCAUGGGAUGUCUCUCCUGCCCAUCCUGUUUUCAAAAAUGCUAGUGUUUGGUGUAAUUACACAGCAACAAACUUAUCCAGAUCUAGCAAUGUUCCUCUUCUAUUACCGUUGGGAAUGUUUUUUAUCUGUGGAGAUAGGGCGUGGCCCAUUAUCCCUUCUCAUAUAAAAGGAGGUCCAUGUAGCCCCGGACGCCUUUCUGUCCUGACUCCUAAUACAUCUGUGAUUUUACAACACCGUCUUUCUCACAGAGCAAAACGUGGCAUUCAUGCAUAUACCCCCGAUUGCGAUGAUAGCGCGGAGUUUUGGUCUUUUAGUCAACGCUUUGUUACCUCUGUUCUGAUACCUGGGCUUGCCGCUGGGAGAGCAUUAGCGACUCUAGAUAAGCUUGGCUGCUGGCUUGCUAAACAAACUAAUGCUACUAGCAAUGCAUUAUCUGGUCUUUUAUUAGAUGUAGAUAGUGUUCGCCAUGCUACAUUGCAGAAUAGAGCUGCUAUAGACUUUUUGCUUUUAGCGCAAGGCCAUGGCUGUGAAGAUUUUGAAGGCAUGUGUUGUAUGAAUCUCUCCGAUCACUCAGAAUCAAUCCAUGCCAGUAUUCAACAGCUUAAAAAAGGAGUCUUUAAACUCCGACAAGACGAUAGUUGAGAUUGGUUAGAUAAACUCCUUGGAGGAUGGGGGCUAUCAGCAUGGUUAAGGAGUUUGGUAAAGACAAUUGUUUACACCUUGGCUGUCUUUGUUCUCCUGUUAAUCCUUUUACCCUGUCUCUUGCAGUGUCUACAGAGAUUGAUAGAGUGUUCCAUGAAAAAAAUUCUUUUUGUGCAACAGGAAGGGGGAGAUGUAGGACAGGAUUUGGCUACUCUCAGCAGGACUCCCAGUGCUCUUCAGCUGAUAGAAGGAGACGUGUUGGAGCUUGUCGGUCGUAAACCAUGGGAGGAAUAAGAUAAGGAUAAAAGCUUGGCUGAGAAAGAAUGGCCCAGUGUUUAUUUGUCAAUCACGGGUUGGAAAGGUUGAGGGAGAAGGGAGUAGCCGACCUUGAUAAAGAGGAGCUAACUCUUUGUGUAAGAAAAGAUGUUGCUGGGGGAAGGUAAAUGCUUGAUUAAUAGUUUGUCUUAUGCUAGCCAAUCAGUGUGUGCCUUCUGUAAAAGAUAGACCAAUCAGUAUGAGACACGCUAGGUAGGGACAAGUAUAAAUGUAUAUGGACAACUAAUAAAACGACAUCUUGCUUGC
rnacentral:lncRNA from 1 species